UACGGGGGGGGCAAGCGUUGUUCGGAAUUACUGGGCGUAAAGGGCGCGUAGGCGGCCUUCUAAGUCGGACGUGAAAUCCCUCGGCUUAACCGAGGAACUGCGUCCGAUACUGAAAGGCUUGAAUCCGGGAGAGGGAUGUGGAAUUCCAGGUGUAGCGGUGAAAUGCGUAGAUAUCUGGAGGAACACCGGUGGCGAAGGCGGAUCUCUGGGCCAUUACUGACGCUGAGGAGCGAAAGCGUGGGGAGCGAACAGG
rnacentral:rRNA from 1 species